rnacentral:piRNA from 1 species
UCUGAGAGCCACUUAAAACAC